rnacentral:rRNA from 1 species
AUGGCGAUGGCGGCGGCGAGGAGAGCCCUCCUGAACCACCUCCGCGUGCCGGUGGCGCGCCCCGCGGUCGCAGCGGGAAGCGUCCCCGUCGCCAGGCUCCUGUCUUCCACCUCGGAGGUGGAGAAGGGCUCGUUCCUCGACAAGGGCGAGGUCGCCGACCGCGUCGUCUCCGUCAUCAAGAACUUCCAGAAGAUCGAGCCCUCCAAGGUGACCCCUAAUGCGCAUUUCCAGAAGGACCUCGGGCUGGACAGCCUGGACACUGUCGAGAUCGUCAUGGCCUUUGAGGAAGAAUUCAGCUUCGAGAUCCCCGACAAUGAGGCAGAGAAGAUCGAUUCCAUCAAGUCGGCAGUCGACUUCAUUGCCUCGCAUCCUCAAGCAAAGUAA